rnacentral:lncRNA from 1 species
AUGAAGCAAUUUAAUUUGGACAUUUGAAAAUUAUACCGGCAUAAAAGAACCCCACAAUUAUAUGAUGUGGAAUAUGGUAAUGACAACCAGACAUACCAUCAAGUUUGUAAAUACAAAAGAUGCAGGACAUCAUACAGCAUAACAGUUUCAAACAAAUUAAAUCCCUUAGUUUCUAUGCAACCAUAGAGGACUUUUAUUAUUGCUAAAUACCGACGCGAUUACUAGACGACUUGCCAACAUCUAAACCAUCCCUUUUGCAGGCUCGGAAUCAGGUUUUAUGAUGCUCAUCCGGAUCAACCCGUCCUCCAAGUAUCCUUUUCCCACGAUCUCAUGAUUCUUCUCGAUGGUGGUUCCCCUAGUAGCAUCCAUAGAUAUUAUGUAAUCGUUCCCCAGAAGUAUGCACGCGGAUAAGAGACACUUCCUGAUUGUGGGGAUGUGAAAAACAUUUAACAGUCUCAAAACCUUACCCGUGGUGAAAUGAAGCUCCACUGAACCGAUCCCUGCCACCUCAGCACGACUGUUGAAGUCCAAAACCACCUCAUGACCCGUCCACGGUUGGUAGUCCACAAACAUGUCCCUUGAGUUGCAAACGUGCACUGUGCAUCUAGAAGCCAAGUACCACCCUCGACGCCUCAUCUUGGAUAAAGCCGGGUCCUCGUUAACUGUUAACAAGCUUAUUUCUUCAUGGUGCACCACUUUCCCAGAUGCGUGACACUUUCCGGUCCCCUUCUUUGUAGAACUCUCGCCAUGUGACAUGUUCGUUCUUUUCGUUCAACCUGGUUCGUAACAAUAACAAAAUCAAAAGAACUGAUACGAAAUCACAUGAUGCCAUAAAGUUUUGUAAUACAUUACAAAGGAAUUUCAACUAAUGUGUAUGUUUUUCUUUUUAGUAAGUUUCCCAUAUACUACCCAUUUAACUAGAAUAAUGAACAUGAUACAAUUUUGUAGGAUUACAAUAAGAAUAAUUAUAAAGACAAACUAAUCAUAUCAAUAAUGAAAAUGAUACAAUUUAUAGGAUUGCAAUAGAAAAAUUAUACAGACAAACUAAUCAUAUCAUAACUCAUAAAGAGAAUUACAAUAAAUCUUAUCUACAUAUAUAGAAUCCUAACUAAUAGACUCCGUUUAAUCUUAAGAGGCAGCGAUUCUUGACGUGACACGGAAAAACAGGUUUUUGGUUGACUAACACGACCCAUUUAAAAUGUGGGUUGUGUUCAGGUUGACCCAUUUUUAAAAACAGUCGUGUUCCGGUUGACCCGUAUAAAAAACGGGUUGACCAGUUAGCCCAUCUAACUAUUUAGAAAAAAAAGAACUUUUAUUAUAUUAGUUUUGUUUAUUUGGAUUUUCAUUUAAAUAAUUAGUUAUAAUAAUGUUAGUUUUGUCACACCAUAUAUUCCUUAGUCGUCACACUCAUACUCACCACUAAACACGUUACCGGUAACUAGCUUAAAACUCAACAACCCCCUCAUAAAUCGUCAAACAUGUAUGAAUCGUUUAAAAAAAUGGGUUAAACAGGUUGUGUUCGGGUUGACCUGAAUUUAUGUGUGGGUUGGUUUGUAUUGAAAUCUUUGACACGAAUAAUAAUAUGGGUCGUGUUCUAGUUGCACAUAUCAACCCACCUUGUCAACGCGACACAAUAGACACUCCUGUAUGAUAAUAAUUGAUAUAUUUAAUCUAUUAGUGGUAUAAGAAGCAUGCAAUUUCGAAUUCUACUGCAGUUUUAACUUUGGAAUAAUGCAUUUUAAUAAUCCCAACUAUUAGCCGUUCGUCGGUAACGGUCCUAACUUCAAAAAAUAACCAGUGUUGGGACCGUUGUCGACCAACGACUAAUAGCUUGGAUUAUUAAAUUCCAUUAUACCUUUAACUUUUAAGAUGAUGUUUGCUCACAAUUUCAUCAUAAUUUUGCCGGACAAAAACUGUAACAAGGUCACGUUGACCGGUUAUUUUUCUUUAAUUUCCUUCAAUUUCAAAACAUAAAACUCUUUUAAGAUCCUUUGGAAAUAGCCCAACAAAACAUAAAACUGUUUUAAGAUCCAUUGGGAAUAGCCCAAUGGUGUUUGUGAGUUAGAUAAGGUGUAAGAUAGUAGGAUGUCAUUGGUUCAAUUCCAAUGAUGUGCAAGUUUAGCCAUUAAAAAAACCGUUUAAAGGCUUAUUUCUUUAAGCAAGAUUAGAACGUAAAUGCAUGAAAAAGCCUUAGCAGAUUAUAUUCCAGUGGUCUGUUUGUGAUCUAAAUUUGGAAAAAAAAUCAACUAAAGAUUUCAAGUUACAACUCAAAUAGUGGCUAAUAAUUGACAUGAGUUAUUUACUAAAGUGAAUUCUAUGAUCAACUUUACAAGAUCAAUCUAGAUUACUCAUGUAGUGAGAAGUUAAUUUGAAUGUAGGUAAGAAGUACCUGUGAUCGAAUACUUCACAAUAGCGAUUAUGUCUCCG